GAAAUAUCUGAAAAAAAUGCAGCAAAUUGGGCUAAACAAGUGAUCCCUCAUACACUGGGAUCAAAGUCACUAGCAAGAAAGAGAGAUGAGCUGGAGUUGCAAGAUGGACGACCGUAUAGUAGAGCAGACAUGUAUCUUGUUUCUCAUCAAAAGAAUGAUGUAACUUAUGUUAAUGAUGAGGCUAGACUCAAAUGUGACCAAUUGCGCACUGCAAUUGAAAAUUGUUCUUCUGAGAGUGAAGCCUUUGUUGAUACUUUUGGGAAGGAACGUCCUGGAUAUGUACGUGGCAUGGGACCUGGAGUAACUCCAA